rnacentral:rRNA from 1 species
CCUACGGGGUGCUGCAGUGAGGAAUAUUGGUCAAUGGACGAGAGUCUGAACCAGCCAAGUAGCGUGUAGGAUGACUGCCCUAUGGGUUGUAAACUUCUUUUAUAUGGGAAUAAAAUGUUCCACGUGUGGGAUUUUGUAUGUACCAUAUGAAUAAGGAUCGGCUAACUCCGUGCCAGCAGCCGCGGUAAUACGGAGGAUCCGAGCGUUAUCCGGAUUUAUUGGGUUUAAAGGGAGCGUAGGUGGAUUGUUAAGUCAGUUGUGAAAGUUUGCGGCUCAACCGUAAAAUUGCAGUUGAAACUGGCAGUCUUGAGUACAGUAGAGGUGGGCGGAAUUCGUGGUGUAGCGGUGAAAUGCUUAGAUAUCACGAAGAACUCCGAUUUCGAAGGCAGUUCACUGGACUGCAACUGACACUGAGGCUCGAAAGUGUGGGUAUCAAACAGGAUUAGAUACCCCUGUAGUC